AUUGAACGCUGGCGGCAUGCCUAACACAUGCAAGUCGAACGGCAGCACAGCAGUAGCAAUACUGUGGGUGGCGAGUGGCGGACGGGUGAGGAAUACGUCGGAAUCUGCCCAGUCGUGGGGGAUAACUAGCCGAAAGGUUAGCUAAUACCGCAUACGACCGAGAGGUGAAAGCGGGGGACCGCAAGGCCUCGCGCGAUUGGAUGAGCCGACGUCGGAUUAGCUAGUUGGCGGGGUAAAGGCCCACCAAGGCGACGAUCCGUAGCUGGUCUGAGAGGAUGAUCAGCCACACUGGAACUGAGACACGGUCCAGACUCCUACGGGAGGCAGCAGUGGGGAAUUUUGGACAAUGGGCGAAAGCCUGAUCCAGCCAUGCCGCGUGUGUGAAGAAGG
rnacentral:rRNA from 1 species